AACGAACGCUGGCGGCAUGCCUAACACAUGCAAGUCGAACGAGACCUUCGGGUCUAGUGGCGCACGGGUGCGUAACGCGUGGGAACCUGCCCUUAGGUUCGGAAUAACUCCCCGAAAGGGGUGCUAAUACCGGAUAAUGUCUUCGGACCAAAGAUUUAUAGCCUUUGGAGGUGCCCGAGUUGGAUUAGCUAGUGGGUAGGGUAAAAGCCUACCAAGGCGACGAUCCAUAGCUGGUCUGAGAGGAUGAUCAGCCACACUGAGACUGGGACACGGCGCAGACUCCUGCGGGAGGGGGGGGAGGGUGAUAUAGGAAUGCGGGCGAUAUGCUGAAGCCGCAAGGGCGGGAGAGUGAUGUAGGCGUUGGGGAUGGAAAGCAAGUUUAUCCGGGAUGUUAAUGACGGUACCGGGAGAAGAAGCACCGGCUAACUCCGUG
rnacentral:rRNA from 1 species